UACGGAGGGGGCUAGCGUUGUUCGGAAUUACUGGGCGUAAAGCGCACGCAGGCGGCUUUGCAAGUUAGAGGUGAAAGCCCGGGGCUCAACUCCGGAAUUGCCUUUAAAACUGCAUCGCUAGAAUUGUGGAGAGGUAAGUGGAAUUCCGAGUGUAGAGGUGAAAUUCGUAGAUAUUCGGAAGAACACCAGUGGCGAAGGCGACUUACUGGACACAUAUUGACGCUGAGGUGCGAAAGCGUGGGGAGCAAACAGGG
rnacentral:rRNA from 1 species